UCUAACAAAAUUUACCAUUUUAACCAUUUAAAAUUACAAUUUUGUGAGGUUAAGUACAUGCACAUUGUUCUGUAACGGUCUCCAGCAGUCACCUCCAGAACUUUGGCACCUUCCCAAGCUCUUACCUGUUGAAGAGUAACCCCGCCCGUAUCACCAUUCUGCUUUCCGUCUCAGUGAAUUUGACUAAGUGCCUCAUACAAGUGGGAUAACACAGCAUUUGUCCUUUUGUGUCUGGCUUGUUUCACUUAGGGGUGAUUUGAUUGUUUCCACUUAUUUGCUGUUACAUCAAAUGCCUACAGGAGUUAUCCACUUGUGAACCUGAAGAAAAAUAUCUUUACCAAGAGCUUGUGCAGCUUCAACUUUACCAGGAGAACUCGGCCGCCUUCCAGCCCCGGCCGCCAAGAAUCUUCUGGGCUUCUUUAGAAGGCGCUGGCUCGCCCCACGCCUGUUCUCUCCCGGGCUCAGUUUCCCUCCCCUAACCCUACCGGGCCUCCCCGCCAGCUCCCGCCCUGCCGUCGGAAGAGUUCGCGCGCCCUCCCAGAGUAUCCGCAGGCAGGCCGGCCGGCCGGCCUCUUCUGGGAGGAUCUGGCUGCUUCCUUUGAAGUUUGAGGGUGGGGUCGGAGCGCCUCCGUUAGCCUUGAAUCUCCCCUCCCGCGACGAAACAGCUCCUCAGGGCUGCCUGUCUUCAGAGACUUUGGCAGGCCCCUCUAGAAUUUGCCCAGGUGAAGGGCAAGGCUUCAGAGGUGAGAGUAAGCUUGCCAGGCCUCCCCUCCUUUUGAGCCUGGAAUGGUUGUUUGCUUCCUUUAAAAUAAUAAGCUGUAAGCCCUUUAGGAACACUUGUGAAACGUGGGAAUUUAAUUUCAGCCUUUUCUUAAUUAGCAAUAGUGCCUUGCUCCUCCUUCUCCCAGAAGCAGGGAAACUUCCUUAAAAUCUCAGUUUAUAGGCAAACAGGUUAGAACGUGUGAAUUUCUCGGAGUUGGCGAAGUUGCAGUGUAAGUUUUCUUUAAGAGGCCAUCUCUGACAAGCUUGAGGCUCCUCCUCUGCAGAAAUGGGUUGGAAACUGAGGUGCUUGAGUACAUUAGGUGAGCUGAACAUAAAUCCUCCCAGUUAUUAGCAGGGUGUGCUUUCCAUUUUUGCUGAGAACUGACCUGUCUGUCGGGGUUAAAUGAGAUGAUGCAUGAGCACUGAGCACAGUGCCUGACUCAUAGUCAACACUCAGCAAAUAUUAGCUGCUGUUAUAUCACAAGAUGCAAUUGGAAUUGAAAUAUAGUUUGCUGCUAAAGAUGAACGAUCUUAAUCGGGGUAAAAACUAAAUGAUUGAUUGUUUUAAAUAAAUGUGAAAAAAGCUUAAAACCUAAUUACUUUGUGAUGAUCCUACAGAUUCAGUUUCAGAGCAGACUUCUGUUGAGGUUGAACAGAAGGCCCAGGUUCAUGGUCUAUCUCAUAGGACCUGGAGGUCAUUACCCACAGCUUGAUGAUUGAGUGUUGAGUUUUAUUUGUUUGGCUCUAUGAUCUCUGAUUCGUCAGUAGUGGGAUUUGGCAUUCCUUUGUCUGAGGCUUUGGUUAGCAUCUGAUAAUACAUGUAGCAUUUGUCAACUAACAAGUUUGUUAAAUGUCCUAAGCCUUUACUGAACAUCCCAGAUUGAAUAAAACUUUAACUUGUUUUGUGGCUGCAUCUUGUGCCUUGCCAGAUCUUAGUUCCCCGACCAGGGACUGAACCCUUACCCUCAGCAGUGAAAGCAUGGAGUCUU